rnacentral:rRNA from 1 species
UACAGAGGGUGCGAGCGUUAAUCGGAAUGACUGGGCGUAAAGGGUGCGUAGGUGGUUUUAUAAGUGUGUUGUGAAAGCCCCGGGCUUAACCUGGGAAUGGCAACGCAUACUGUAGGACUAGAGUCGGUGAGAGGCGUGUGGAAUUUCCGGUGUAGCGGUGAAAUGCGUAGAGAUCGGAAAGAACACCGGUGGCGAAGGCGGCACGCUGGUACCAGACUGACACUGAGGCACGAAGGCGUGGGGAUCAAACAGG